CCGCCCGUCCCAGUCUCCUACUCUCCUCCAAGGCACCAACUCCUCCCCCGCUCCCAUCCUCCUCUCUCUCUCUCGCCCGUACGGCACCGCCUCCCAGACCCUAGCAAUGGAGAAGGCGGGCGAAUCGGUCGUGGAGGGAGCUGCGCCGCCGCCGAUGCCUCCACCCAAUGCGGCCGAGCGCUGCGGGAGAUCGCCCUAUGCCGCCUCUCCAUGCCGCUGCGGCGCAGGCGCUCUUGUUCCCCUCAUCGAGGCCCCCAAAUCCUAACGAUUCGUCGGGCUAUGGGAACUUCGUGAGCCCUCGGCGUCGGUAGUCGCGGCGUUGCUGGAGAACAACGGCGAUAUCUCCCCGCCGCGGCGAGUCCGCGUCGACGUGUCGCACCUCCACCGCCUUCUGCGUCAAGCCUCCCUCCCCUCUACCGUAUUUGCAGCCACCAUCGAUUUCUCUAAAGAAUUGACAUCAUGAUCUCCACCUAUGGUUAUAACAGGGAGUGAUCCUCAGGUCCUUCCUUUAACUCCCUUGUGUUGUGUUUGUCAUCUAAAACAGAUGAUUACUUGGAAUUUUCUAUUUGAUUGCUGUGGCGUGAUUUGUGUACCACUGUACCAAAAAUUUCAGCAGGGUGAUGAAUCGGC